AUAUCAAUAAGCGGAGGAAAAGAAACUAACAAGGAUUCCCCUAGUAACUGCGAGUGAAGCGGGAAAAGCUCAAAUUUAAAAUCUGACAGUCUUCUGGCUGUUCGAGUUGUAAUCUGGAGAGGCGUCUUCCGCGUUGGACCGUGUACAAGUCUCCUGGAAUGGAGCAUCGUAGAGGGUGAGAAUCCCGUCUUUGACACGGACUUCCAAUGCUUCUGUGAUACGCCCUCGAAGAGUCGAGUUGUUUGGGAAUGCAGCUCAAAAUGGGUGGUAAAUUCCAUCUAAAGCUAAAUAUUGGCGAGAGACCGAUAGCGAACAAGUACCGUGAGGGAAAGAUGAAAAGCACUUUGAAAAGAGAGUUAAACAGUAC
rnacentral:rRNA from 1 species